rnacentral:rRNA from 1 species
UACGGGGGGGAGCAAGCGUUUGUUCGGAUUUACUGGGCGUAAAGGGCGCGUAGGCGGUCAGCACAAGUCAGUUGUGAAAUCUCCGGGCUUAACUCGGAAAGGUCAACUGAUACUGUGCGACUAGAGUGCGGAAGGGGCAACUGGAAUUCUCGGUGUAGCGGUGAAAUGCGUAGAUAUCGAGAGGAACACCUGCGGCGAAGGCGGGUCUCUGGACAGUUCCUGACACUGAGGCACGAAGGCCAGGGGAGCAAACGGG